GAAGUUCUACUUUCAUAUCCAUUUUCCUGAACACAAGAAAAACCACAAUAAAGCAAUCCAUGCAACGGAAUUUAGAUGUUUGAAAUAUUCUGGCCUAGAUCCUCAAGUCUGUGUUGGUUGAACACGGUGGCGGACCUACCACAGGGCUUGGUAGGUCCAAUGCCCUGGCUCAAAGCAAAAAAAAUAAAAAUUUCUUUGGACUAGAUAGGUUUUUUUGCUCCAAAAAAAUUUAGAGAAAAGACAAUUUAUAAGGAAAGACAAAGUUUAGGGACUUAAUCAUAAAAUUGCCUAGGCUUCCUAAAAAUUCUAGUUCCGCCACUGGUUGAACAUGAAAUUAAGCUGUACAAAAACAACACUAUUGGGUGAUAGAAUUGCUUUCAAACAUAUUUGACAGCUUUGAAUGGCUAACUUUUAUGCUUUAGUUUUGUUAUUAAGCUAGUAUUAGUGCUCUGACACUGGAGUGAAAAUGUGUUAGGGUUCUAAAUUUUAGUUAGUGGGCCUGUUGUGUUUGGACUUUGGACCUAGGUUUGAUUUUAUCUAUCUCUAUUUGUUAGUUUUAGUAAGGUUUGGUUUGGUAAUGAGUCUGUUUUUAUUAUUUGAGCUGUGCCUAUGUUGGGCCAGAGUCAUUUGCAUAGUAGGGUUAGUUUAUCAUAAAUAGGAGAGUAAACGGCCAUUUUGGUCCUUGAUUGUGUUCACUUAUGAUGAACCAGUCCUCAUAUUUUGGAAAUGGUCUUUUUUCAUCCCUGAAUUUGUCGUCGUCGGUCAAAUUAGUCCUUGAUUAAGUUUUCCGUUGGUCCCUCAGACGGAAAAGUCCAAAUAUCACCAUUUUUGCCACAUUGGCUUGACACAUCAUCAAUGACUCACAUCUUAUUAUGUCAAUUUAGUCCCCUAGAAAAUAAAAAUAAAAAAAUUGAAUUUAUUAAUUCAAAUUACAGAAAGUCACUUAAUCAUCAAUUCAUCAUCUUCAACCUCAUCUUCAUCUUCAUCCUCAAUCUCACCUUUUUUUCAUCAUUUCCAAAAAACAAACACAAAAUCCCCAAAUGUUCAUCCUCCAUCUUCUUAUUCUUCAUCUUCUAUAAUUCUAAAUCUUAAAAAACCCAAACCCGGAAAUUUAAAAAGCCAAACCCAACCUAACCCAGAAAUAAAAAACCCACCCCUAACCUAAAUCCCAACUCCAUAAUACAUGGCCACCCCCAUCCAUGGAUCCAGUGACGAGAGUUUGAGAUUGAAAUUGAGGAGACGCAUAGCCACCUUAUUUCUUUACAUUAUAAUUUUCUUCACAAAAUAAAAAGUCUGCAAUUGUGCAUACAUGUAGUCAUUGUAAGAGAAUCUGGGUGUAAAUUUUGGAUAAUUUGAAUUCUGGGUCUGGGUAAAGUUUCGAUCUUUUGUGAUCUAGAUGAUGUCUUCUGGGACAUCUUCGUAUUGGUGCUACAGGUACAGUCAGUUUAUGAGGGUGUGGAGACAGGACACGGUGGCUUGCCCCGAUUGCGACGGUGGGUUCAUUGAAGAGGUUGAGCAUCCGGCGGCGCGUUCUGCCCACGCGUGAUUCUUCUUCCCUUUGAUGUCGACGACGGCACCAGCAGUGUCCUCUCCUCUGCGGUUCCAAACGGAGCCAAGGUCGCUCUAUUCUCAGCGAUGGCCACAGUUCCAAACGGGUUUACUCCUUUCAGCAAUGACGUCGUUGUACUCUUCCAGCGACGGCGGCGAUGUACUCCUCCUUGGACGUCGUCGACAAAAACGGCACCAAGUUAGCCCUUUUCUCCCCUCGGCGACAACGGUGAUUCCUCUCACUACCUUUCACCACCACAGUUCUCAUACACGCCCACCACACUGGUCUCUUCCCCCUUCUACUUUUCCACCUUUUUCUGUUCUUCUAUCACUGGGUUGUUGGGUUUGAUAGGGUUGGGGGUGGCUGGAUCUGGGUGCUUCGAUCUGAAUGGGGCUGGGUUUGAAUUUGUUAAAAAUGAUUUGUUUUUGGAAAAAUUAAUCUUCUAUCAUCUGUUGUAUGUGUUUCAUUCCUCAUAGAUUCACAUUCUUAGCUUUUAAUUUUCAUCAAAUUUUACGUUGGCACACUGUUCUUCUUCCACUGUGAUUGUUAGCUUCUAAUUUCAUUAAUUUCUAUCAAUAAUCUGAUUGUUAUGCACACUAGCCUUUGCUUGAUUUUUCCCAUUUUUAUUGGUUUUCAUAUUGUUGUACCGUUCUUGGUCAUGCGUUCUUGGUUUGUUAUUGAUUUUUUUAGAAUUUCUUUACUGAAUGGUUAUGAUGAAGAUGUUGUGAAUGAAGGUGAUGAAGAUGUUGUGAAUUUAUUAAUUCAAAUUUCAGAGUUUUUAUUUUUAUUUUCUAAGGGGACUAAAUUGACUAAGGUUACAAUCUGAGUCAUUGACCACGUGUCAAGCCAUGUGGCAAAAAUGGUGACAUUUGGACUUUUCCGUUUAAGGGACCAACAGAAAACUCAAUCAAGGACUAACUUGACCGACGACAACAAAUUCAGGGACGAAAAAAGACCAUUUUCAAAGUAUGAGGACUAGUCCAUCAUAAGUGAACACAAUCAAGGACCAAAAUGGCUGUUUACUCUAAAUAGGAUUACUCUUAGGGUAUGAUUUGCAUAUUAGAUUUGUAAAAGGGUUUACCCUUGGAAGGGAUUCUCCCUAGUCCCUUCAAAGAAAGUUCUCCUUCUUGUGAAUCCAUUAGGAUUGUCUUUCCUAUCCCUCUCUUUAUCUCUUCUCUCCUUGUUUUAUUUUCCAGUUUAUAUAUUAAAAAAUACCAAAAAAUAUUCCUUUUCUCCUCCUUUUACCUUGUGGCUGAUGUUAGGGUUUCGAAAUCCUAACAAUUGGUCUGACCUUGCGGUUCCUCUGUCUUGCUGUGCUAGCCAUUUGCCGCCGCUGCCAGCCACCACUGGCAGCCUCCACUGUCGCCACCACUUGCCGAAUACCCAGCCACCACCAUGCACCUUGCUGUUCAUCCAGCCACCACCAUCCACCAUUGUCGGAUUCCCGCACACGCCCAAGCAGCACCACCGCCGCACACUGGUCAUUCACGCACGGCUCAUCAUACGCUUAUCGUUUAUACACGUUCGUUGCUGUUCUCUUCCCAGUUCUUGGCUAUAAUGGAGACUUGGAAGGCUACUGCUGAUAGGGACAUCACUGAUAUCAAGAGAAUGAUGACUGAUAUAAUGCAGCAGUUGAAAAGGUUGGAGCAUUCGAAGAGGAUGGGUAAGAAAAAUCCAGAAUUGAAACUGGAGAAUAUUCCUCUUCCACAGUGUCAAGAUGUUAUACCUUCAUACAUAGCAUUGUCCCUGAUAAUGAGAAAAACAGAUUUAGCUUUGUAAGUUUGGGAGCAACUUUUGGAGUUAAUACAAGCUAUGUUAGUGGCCCAGCAAGCACAAAGUGUUCUACAGCUCCUUCCAAAACAUCUCAAGAUUUUGAAGACAGUGUGGAGGAGCAGGACGCAAGCAGUCAAAAUGCCGUGAUUACUUUUGAGUUGCUUUGCCGACUGAAGGUGUCAAAAAAGGGACUUCUAUCACUGGCCUUAGUGGAUGAAGACGACCACUCGACGAGGAGGGGUUAACCCUCAAUGCGGAUGGAGGUAUAGGCCCAAGCUACGCGGACACAACUGCCUCCUCCAAUGCCGCCAAACAUGGACAGUGGCGCACUUGCUGAUUUGGGCAUUCACCCUGUUUGCCGCUCACAAUGAGAUCUGGGAGGAGAUUUUAUCUACCAUGAAGCGUGCAUAAAUUUACUAACUCCAACCUUGAGGACAUGGUUGAAUUUUUUGUGGGAAGUAUUGUUAGGGCUCUAAAUUAUAGUCAUUGGGCCCGUUGUGUUUGGGCCUAGGUUUGAUUUUAUCUAUCUGUAUUAGUUAGUUUUAGUAUGACUUGGUAUUGGGUUCGUUUUUAUUAUUUGAGUUGGGCCUAUGAUGGGCCAGAGUCAUUUGCUUAGUAGGGUUAGUUUAGUACAAAAAAAAAAGAAUACUCUCCUUAGGUUAGAGUGUGAUUUGAGUAUUAGAUUUGUAAAAGGGUUUCACCCUUGGAAGGGAUUUUCUCUUGAAAGAAGGUUCUCAUUCUUGUGAA